UUACAUUCCAAAAAGAAUUACUAUCAUUUUCUAAUUUAAUAGAUUUUGAAAAAUGGAAGUCUGAUAUUGAACUUAGUUGUUUAAGUCAAUAUAUUGUAACCUCUGGCGGAAAGGUCUGUAAAGAUGGUAAGAUAAUUACAUACUACCAAUGUAACGAAGUGGUUUAUAUAAUUGUUUGUCAUCAGGCAAAAGAAGGAUACAAAGUAGCGGAACUCGAAAAAUAGACAAGAAUUGCACAUCGACACUAAAAGUGACAUGCUCCAAU